CGUAGGUGGCAAGCGUUAUCCGGAAUUAUUGGGCGUAAAGCGCGCGUAGGCGGUUUUUUAAGUCUGAUGUGAAAGCCCACGGCUCAACCGUGGAGGGUCAUUGGAAACUGAAAAACUUGAGUGCAGAAGAGGAAAGUGGAAUUCCAUGUGUAGCGGUGAAAUGCGCAGAGAUAUGGAGGAACACCAGUGGCGAAGGCGACUUUCUGGUCUGUAACUGACGCUGAUGUGCGAAAGCGUGGGGAUCAAA
rnacentral:rRNA from 1 species